AUGAUCAAAGCAAAAGGACGAACUAUGGAUGGCGGCAAAGCGAAGACAGCAUCUGGAGAGUAUGAAUGCUUUGCCAGCACAAGGUCGUGGGCGCCAAGUUCUGAGGAAAUCCUCCAUGAGGACGACGAGAAGCUGCGGGAGCUGAAGGAGAAGUACCGCGAGGAGGUGUACGCCCUGGUGAGGAAGGCGCUGCUGGAGGUGCACGAGUACAACCCGAGCGGGCGCUACUCGGUGCCGGAGCUGUGGAUCUUCAAGGAGAACCGGAAGGCGACGCUCAGGGAGGUGGUGGAGUUCAUCCUCAAGCAGUGGCGCGCACUCAAGAAGAGGAAGCGCUGA
rnacentral:rRNA from 1 species